rnacentral:misc_RNA from 1 species
GGAUGAAGAACGCAGCGAAAUGCGAAAAGUAAUGUGAAUUGCAGAAUUCAGUGAACCAUCGAAUCUUUGAACGCACAUUGCGCCCGCUGGAACUCCGGCGGGCACGCCUGUCCGAGCGUCAUUUCAACCCUCAGGCCCCCCUUCGCGGGCGGGCCUGGUGUUGGGGCCCGGCCGCUACCCUGCGGCCGUCCCCUAAAUUCAGUGGCGGCCUCGCCGUGAUCCCUUGCGUAGUAAUGCACCUCGCACCGGAGAGCGCCGUGGCCACGCCGUAAAACCCCCAAUUUUCAAUGGUUGACCUCGGAUCAGGUGGGAAUACCCGCUGAACUUAAGCAUAUCAAUAAGCGGAGGA